AUACAAUGGUGUGGACAUUCUCUUUGCAAGUCUUUAUAUCUUUCCAAUGCUAUAUAGAGUGAUUCUCCCUCCUUUUGUUUGAAGGUGUUGAGCUUAAGCCUUAGUUU